UUCUCAGAAAAAGUGUUGUUAGAUUACAUUUAGCCAAAAAUACUGCAAUCAAUGAAUUUUUUUUUAUAAAUAUGUUUUAGACCCUUAAAAGACAGAAAAACACUACACGUUAAUGCAUUUUUUCAUGACUUUUCUCAGAAAAAUGUCUUAUUAGGGUUCUUUAAUUAAAUAAAUAAUAGUUACAUUUGUGAUUUAGCAGAAAAGUUGCAACAAAGCAACUUAAAUUGGAAGGAAACAGUUACAGUUUACAAAACGUGUUUAAUUAUAACCUAUUUAAGUAAAUUUUGGGUACAUGUACAAUAAUAGGGUGGAGGGAUAAAGCAGUUUAUGAAGAGAUUCUAAUAUUGGUGAUACAUUCUCUGCUAAUGUUUACCAUAAUAUAGUUAUAUAUCUCCAGAUGCUUCAUGCAAACUAGUGUUUUUUUUGCAUAGCAGCUGCUGACCUUCCACUGAGCUGCUGCGGUACAGCAGUCACAGCUUUCCCCGGUCCCGUGUUCUCCUGCAGUUUGGACAAGCUGGACAGCCGAACUCCAAUGGGGUCAGAGAAGUCUGGCAAAGGCCCAAUAAGAAGUCCAGCCAGUGAACAUCCCAGCAGCAGAGCAGCACAGCCCAGCAGGAGCAGCAGCGGAUAGUCCACGAUCAGCCGGGAGUAACUGCAGGAAACAGGAGAAUGCUUCAGUAACGCCAAAAAAACGAGAACAUUAAAAAAAA